AUUGAACGCUGGCGGCAGGCUUAACACAUGCAAGUCGAGCGGGGUGAUGGUGCUUGCACUAUCACUUAGCGGCGGACGGGUGAGUAAUGCUUAGGAAUCUGCCUAUUAGUGGGGGACAACAUUUCGAAAGGAAUGCUAAUACCGCAUACGUCCUACGGGAGAAAGCAGGGGAUCUUCGGACCUUGCGCUAAUAGAUGAGCCUAAGUCGGAUUAGCUAGUUGGUGGGGUAAGGGCCUACCAAGGCGACGAUCUGUAGCGGGUCUGAGAGGAUGAUCCGCCACACUGGGACUGAGACACGGCCCAGACUGCUACGGGGGGCAGCAGUGGGGAAUAUGGGACAAUGGGCGGAAGCCUGAUCCAGCCAUGCCGCGUGUGUGAAGAAGGCCUUAUGGUUGUAAAGCACUUUAAGCGGGGAGGAGGCUACUUUAGUUAAUACCUAGAGAUAGUGGACGUUACUCGCAGAAUAAGCACCGGCUAACUCUGUGCCAGCCGCCGCCGUAAGAC
rnacentral:rRNA from 1 species